CAAGAGCGUAUAUUAAAGUUGUUGCAGUUAAAAGCUCGUAGUUGGAUUUCUGGUAUAAUGCGCCUGGCCCGCCGCAGCAAUGCGUGUGAGUGCCGGUGCGCGUUUGCCAUCCUUCUAGAAAACGUCUCUACCCCUAUGGGGCCGGAUUCGCGAUCUAGAUCUUUUACUUUGAAAAAAUUAGAGUGUUCAAAGCAGGCUUUUGCUGUGAAUACAUUAGCAUGGAAUAAUAAUCUAGGACUUCGGUUUUAUUUUGUUGGUUUCUAACACUGAAGUAAUGAUUGAUAGGGAUAGUUGGGGGUGCUAGUAUUGGCCGGCCAGAGGUGAAAUUCUUGGAUUCGGUCAAAGACUAACUUAUGCGAAAGCAUUCACCAAGGAUGUCUUCUUUAAUCAAGAACGAAAGUUAGGGAUCGAAGAUGAUCAGAUACCA
rnacentral:rRNA from 1 species